rnacentral:lncRNA from 1 species
CUUCUGUGAUCUGAGUUAGGAAUAUCAUUCAGAUGAGGUCCUAAGCAUGCUCUGAAGGGCGGGCACAGGCUCAGUACCUGUCUACUUGUGGUUUCAUACACUUCUGGGUAAACACUUAAAUGUUCAAGAUUAGGUCCUUCUAAAGUGGGGGCUCGGGCAUAAUGAAUCCCCAUUAUGUUCAUCAUCAUGGUGAACACUCACUGCCUGCUGUACCUGGCAUUGGUUUAAAGACUUGACUAAUUCAGAAAUUCGGGUCUAUUUCUCAAAUUAAGCAGAUCUCCAGGAUGGAAGCCAGGCAGCUGGAUCACGGAACUGCAUACACUGAUACCCAAGUCCCCAGCUGUGUGUGACUGGCCUACGUGCGUGUACCUCUGCGUGCAGUAUAGCAGGGAAGGGGAUGAAAUGGAAGGAAAACUGAAAAGGUCUGGAGUUCAAUGCAGCUUUCCCUGCAGCUGGCUCUGCCUUUUAAUCAGGGAACCUUGCCUUUCUAUAAGGUUAGAGAGGCAACAUGAACCCCACUGGGGACUGAGCCGUGAACGUAAAAAGCUACAAAGACCUGUUAUUAUAAAGCCUGUUUUCAUUAAGAUGAUAUUCCAGUUACUAUGGAUACCUAAUAAGUUAGUCUAAAACUUGUGGGCAUAAAAGAAUCAUUUACUCUGCUCUCACAACCCACAGGCCAAGAAUGUCAGCUGGACAUUUCCUACGUUGUACAAGGUUUGGGGCCUUGGCUGGAAGACUUGGUGAAAGGGAUCAGAUGUUUAUGAAUUCCCACCCUGGCGUGUUAGAUGGCUUUCCUUCGAAUAGACCUGUUGAACUGAACAGUAAGCCAUUUUAAAAAACCUUUCUUAUGCACACAGCUUGAUGUUUGAACUAACUCUCCCCAUUCCCGGGUUUG